rnacentral:miRNA from 1 species
AGUUGUACUUUUUUUUUUUU